CUUUUUGUCUUUUCUAGGGCCACUCCCGCAGCAUAUGGAGGUUCCCAGGCUAGGGGUCUAAUAGGAGCUGUUACCACCGGCCUAGGCCAGAGCCACAGCAAUGCGGGAUCCGAGCCACAUCUGUGAACUACACCACAGCUCAUGGAAAUGCCAGCUCCUUAACCCACUGAGAAAGGCCAUGGAUCAAACCCACAACCUCAUGGUUCCUAGUCAGGUUCAUUAACCAUUGCACCACGACAGGAACUCCAGUGAAUCUUUUAACUUUGCAUACUUGGCCAUUUGAAUAGGCUAAGAAUUACAGAAAUCAAUGUCUUACUUUUUUGAUUCUGUUUAGUUCUGUAUGAAUAUGUAUUUAAUAGUUCUUUGAUUGUUUUUAUUCUUUCACAUUUUAUUGCAAGCAGCAAGAAGUAAACCAUGCCAUAUAUUCAAAACUUUACUUGGAAAUCUCACCUAAAUAUCCGAGUUCAUCACUUACAUAUUCUGCUUUCCACAUAAGUACAGAAUAUUUUUCUGCAAGGUUUCUGCCAUUUUCUAACAAGGAUUCUCUUUCCUCUAGUUUCGAAUAGCAUGUACUUCAUUUCCUUCUGCUCCUUCACAAGCAGUGUCUUUAAUGUCUUUAUUUCUCCUAACAGUCCACUUACAAUGAUUUAGGUAUUCUCUAAGGUGACAUAUGUUUUCUCUACGCUGAUUUUCACUUCCUUAUGAGUCCUCACUAGUGGAGUCAUUAACAUUCAUAUUUCUACUAACUGUCUUCUGAAGACAAUCUAGUCUUUUUAUCAUGAUCCUCAAAAUUUGCCCAGCCUCUGCCUCUUGCCUGAUUCCCAAGUCACUUCCAUGGUUUUAGGUAUUUGUUAUAGUAAUAUACCACUUCCAGGUACUAAAAUCUCUAUUAGAUUCCCAUUGCUUCUAUAAUAGACUACCACAAACCGGUGGCUUAGAAAUGCAUUAUUUGACAAAUUUAUAUUUAUAAAUCACCAAUUCAUUAUUUUAAAGUUUAUUAAGUCAACAGUUUGGCCUUGGUUUCACUUGGUUAAGAUCAAAUUGUUGACAGGACAGUAUUCCUUUUGAGAGUCUCAGGGGAAAAAUUGACUUUUUCAUGUUCUUACAUUUUUCAGCCCACUUUUCUUGACUUAUGGAUCCUUCCAGAUCCAAAGCCACAAAAGUAGAAUUUUUCUCUCAUUGUUUAAUCAUCCAAACUCUGUUUCAGGCCUCACCUCUGAGUCUCUUCCUCUGCCUCCCACUUCUAUUUUUAAGGACUAUUGUGGUUAUACUGACCUCACCCAGAUCAUUCAAGAUAAUCUCCCUAUCUUCAAGUCCUUAGCUUAAAAACAUCUGAAGGUCCUUUUUGCCAUGUAAAAAUGUAAUUCACAUUUUCUGGGUCUAGGACAUGGAAAAUAUUUUUUUCAAAUAAAGCUACAUAACCAGUGUUACACAGGUUGAGAUUUAUUUAAAAUCCAGAUUUUCCAAAGUCAGUACUUUUUCUACUUUAUGUAUUUAGUUCCACUUUGAGACAGCAGGUUCUUUGGAAAAAGAAAAGAAAUGUAAACUAAAACUAAAAAAAAAAAAAAAAAAAAAAAAAAAUAAAAAAAAAUAAAAAAAGCUAUGUGCUUCAAUCCAGAUAUGAAAAAACAAAGUAGAAAUCACACUCUAUUUACUGCCUGUGAUUUCUCAAGGCCACCAAAAGACUAUAAACUAGUUCUGCCUUGUUGAAAUUUAAAUAUUUUUUUUCUCUUUAUUUACCUGUAUUUAUUUUAUCAAGGCUGAAAUACUCAAUUCUGGAACUGAAGAAACAAGAUAUCUUUGAUUCAUCACUUUUUCCCACCUGCAUGAUACGGAUAUCUGAAACAUUUCAUGAGUAAAAAUCUUUAGACCACAGCACCUUUUGUAAGCAUAUAAGAUUGAAAAGUUGUUCUACUUAAAACUUAGGCCUCGUGCAGAUUAGUUUAAUAACGCAUUAUUUUACUUAAGCUAAAAACAAAUAUACAGACAGAGAGAGAGAGAGCCUAUUUAGAAAUAACUGUACAUUUUUCUGUUUAUUUUCAUAAUUUUUGAACAUAAUAUGUUAUCUCCUGUAGAGAAGAGGAAAGACAUGAAAUCCAUGGAAAUGGAAACAUUCUGACUAUUUGCAGCCCAGAAAUUGGUUUUGAAAAGCUGUGUUUAGGACAAUAGUUCCUCUCAUGAGAAGAUUUUUUUUUUUUUUAAUUCAGUCCUUUUUAAAAAUUCUAAUCCUUUCCCUGUAAUUAAUGCAAGAGAAUCUUGAGAAUUUUAUGCCUAUGUAAGUAUAACCUUAUGAACUCCAGUAAAAUCUAAGUUUUUAUUUUAUGAUGGUAUUCACUUCAACAUGGGUGUAAACUGCCACCCAUUUUGGAGAUAUUAUAUACACUUUUACAUUUAUCUCAUUUUUUUCUGAAUUUUGUGAAUUUAAUCAAAUAAGAAGGAUUUAAUGUUCCAUUAGUGGUCAAUAUUGUUGCCAACAGAGUAACAAGUAGGGAAGUUAAUGAGUUUGGAAUAAGACCAGGAGAACUUGGAAGGGAUGGCUCUACCGACUUUAAAGAGGAUCCUUUUUAUAAGCCAGAAUUCCUUCAGCCCCCAUAGGAUUAUAUUGAUAGCGAUAAUCUAUAUGUGUAUGUAUCAUCAGUUCCUCUAGUCUAUAUUUGCCAUCAUUGUUUUGCCCAUUUCCUUGUCAUGGUGAUGUAAUUUUUCACAACUUUCCUUGAUUUAGUCCUCUUUUUUUGCAUCAGUAAAGUUUCUCAACAUUAUGAUAUUUUCAAGCUCCUGGAGAACAAGGACCGUACCCACUCCUCCCUGUGACUACAUAGUAUACAACAGGGUUGUACCCAUUACUAGUUUAGACUCGCCAAAGUAGUGAAAUGCAUUAAAUGAUGUCACCUCAUUCUGGAAACCUAAUAUCCUUUUAAAUUUCCAAAGUGGGGCAGUGGUUUGUUAGUGGUUAUAUUUUUCUCUGAUUAUAUUUAUUGUAAAUGUUUAUAUUUCUUUCUCUCCCAUUAAAACUAUAGUUUUUAUAUAUGAGAUUUUUAAUUCACCUUUGCAACUGCAAUGCAUGAAUAACAUGAUGCUUCUGAAGAAAUGUUUGUUGAAUCAAUAUCAUAAUGAGAAAAUGGUCCCACUCUUCCCCUUCUCUCUUUUUUUCCUCACCCUUCCUCCUUCCUUCUGUUUCUUCCCCACACCUCACACUUUUUGAUAUUAGGUCUAAAUCAUGAGUCUUUAUCUGAAUUGUGUCACUUCUGUAAAACUGAGGAGUGGGGGUUGUGUGUUUAUGAUUGUGUAUGUAUGUUCAAUAUGUGUGAAUAUGUUUAAUCUAUUGUAUGAGUACUAUUUAUAAUUCUAGAUGAUUUUGCCAAAAUUAUGCUGUGAACAUCUUAAUUCAAAAAAAAAAAAAAAAGAAUUGACAAAGAUCACAUUAAUACUCAUGGGAAGACAGUUCUCUGCAUUAGGUAUGAGGCAGUUUGAGUGAUGACUUCAGAAUUGUUUUUUUUGAAGAAAUUCAAUAACUAUUUCACCUUCCUCACCUCCUUUCUGAAUCUUAGUAACUGUUGUCAUCUCCUUACUCCAAUGAUCACUCAGUUAAUUCAUGAUUUACUCAGGCAUUUAUUUUGGUCCCUCUUUUCAGAUUAAAUUCUGUAAGUUAAUGUUUUAAAAUGUUAAUGUCAGUCUCCAUUAAGAAAAAAACACAACAAAGUAUUUUUCAUAAAGACACAAUAAAUCUCUUCAAUUUGUACUUGUAAAAAGAAACUGUAUAUAAAAUUUUAUCUUUAAAAAUGGUUAGGUUUAUAAAAGAAUGACAAACCUUUAAGAGGUAAAGAGUUGUAUAUGAUGGAAUACUUGCUUGCAGCUAAAUUUAUACAUUUUAAAAGAUUAGUGUUUUUGUAAUUGUGUCUCUAGUUCUUUUUUGCUAAUCAACAUGUUUGUUUUACAGUGCUUUAUAAAACAAUUUGUGCAGUAAUUAAAUGUCUAACAGGGAUUUUUAUGACUGUUUGUUGAACACAAAUGUGGUUUAGCUUAGUAGUUUGGAGUUAUUAAGUGAGCCAUCAUAAUUUAAUGUUUUAAAUAAAACAAAUUAUAGAUUUCUCAGCUUUGCUGGAGGAUCAUAUCACAAUGGAAUUUAUGUACUUCAAAUGUAACAGAUUCCACAUUCCCAACAACACAUUUGCAAACACAUCAAUAAAAGUCUUCUUUCAUUUAGGUUUAUUCUUUAAGGCAAACAGUCCACAGCAAGUAGAAAUAAAGGCAAAAAUUGAUUUUCUUGUAAGAGGGACUGGAAAGAGAACUAAUAUUUAUUGAGCACCUACUACAUGUCAGCCCCUAUGCUUGAUAUCUUAUGCCCUCUCAUUUAAGUCGCACCAUAACCCACAAAGAGGCAGUUUAUCUACAUUUUAUAGGUAAUGAAAUGAAACUGAGGCUUAGAGAGGAGGUUAAAUAACUUGUCCUAAGCUUACAAAGCUUUGUCAAGUAAAUGGAAAAGUUGGGUUCUAACACAAAUCCUUCCCACUCCCAAACUGCUUCUCAAAUUUUACUCUGUUCAUGUCAUUUGAUGUUCACAAACAUACAAACCCACCCAGCACCUGAAUUCAGUUUUAUAAUGGCCAGCAGCAGCAGCACCACCACCAGAAACUUGCAGUCAUUGAGAACCCAUUGCAGUCAAGGGUCUUUCAUAGCCCAUGUACAGAUCUCCCAGUUUAAAAAGGAUCAUUCAAUCCCUUAACCAACAGAUUUUGAUUGGGUACUUCACAUCUUCUUAUCUGAAACCAGGAAGACAGACCAAUUUCCUGACAAGGAUUUUUUUUUUUCCAGAAUUCAUAGGGGACAUUAAAUUGCAAAUAUUUGGGGAAGGAGAGAAAUAGUGCUUGGAAGCAUUGAAAUAUAUCCCUUACAUCCUGCUGAUGUUUUCAUAUGGGAUAUCUGCUCUAAUUUACCCCAAGCACUUUGAACUCAAACUCUGGCAUAUGCAUACAUCUCUUCACUCCUUCUCUGUCUUUUCUACCAAGGUAUCUUUAUUGUACAAAAAAGUAAACUGAGACUGAAGAAGUUAACCGGCCAAGGAUAGAACUCAGGUUUCUAGACAUCUAAAUUCAUGCUUCUAACCACUGAAAGUGGUGGCAGGGGCAGCAACAGAUGAUAGGAAGGGAUGACUUCCUUUAAGUAGCUCUAUGUCUUUUAUAAUAGUAAGUGGAGUAUAUAUUCAUGGAACCUCCCCCCUUUAUAAUACCUGUAAAUCUCAAUCAUUGAUGCAAUUUUUAACUUCUU
rnacentral:lncRNA from 1 species